AGAAAUUUGUUUUAUGCUUUUCACUUUCUCUUAUUUGUUUAAUUCUUUCGUCGCCGGGUGUUAAAAGAGUCUUCGUCAACCUCUUCCGCGUUCGUGUCCGUAGGAGGAGGAAUUCCGGUCGUAUCUUGGGGUGCUGUUUCCGGUUAAUCUCGCACGAAGGACGGAAAUACGCCUUAGGGCAGUGCGUCGCACGCUUCCGGAGCUAAUUAUUUGGAUUUCUUUUCCACCGAUUUAUUUGGGAUUUAGCAAUCAUAUGUAAGUUGAUUUAUUUAUUUUCAUCACUAAAUUAGUUAGAUUUAUAUCACAAUCGAAUUUCGUUGUGGGUUUUCCCCAACAACCUAAGGCGUAUUUCGAUUUGAUUGUGAUUAAAUCUAACAAGUGCUAAUCCGAAAAAAUAAUAAUUGUGCAUAUUGUAUAUAAUUUGUUUGAUAACUUGCUUAUAUGAUUGACAUACAAUAUUAAUUUAAGUUGGGAUUAGCAUUUUCAAAUUCUAAUUGCAAAUUUUUAUUUGUCUUCUAU
rnacentral:lncRNA from 1 species